UACACUUUAGCUUUUGCAGUUGUUUUGGCAUUGUGAACAUACAGUUUCUACCAUACAAUGUGUGGCCCAGUGACAUCUGGAGGUAUAUUUACUCCACCUCUGAUAAAACAUUGUGAAACACUGUCUUCCCCACCCAAAGCAAAAUGUGGCAGCAGAUUGCACAAGAAGUGGCCUUACUGUAAGCUAAAGUUGCUGGUGUUUGCUAAGCAAUUUUAAGCAUGCUAAGCUUUCUAGCCUCUUUACAGUCUAAGAAAGUUUAUCUCCUCUUCUCUCUUGAGUAUUCUCCUUCCAGAGAAAAGUAAGCCUGCUCCAAGAUACUUCAGAAGCCUUUCUAGCAUGAUGACAGAUACUAAUGGUUAUGAGUACAUUGGCACAGCAGAGCCCAGGACACUAGCAAGUCUAUCCUCACCAGGUCUCAGGAUGUUUUUCAGCCCUGCAGAACAUAAUUUUGGCCUGCUUGCAUCUGUUGCACUGCCACAGAGUGAUUCCUGGAGCCCAAAUGCACUGAGCAGACACAGCCACUGCUGCAAUCUGCAGUGCUCACAAUCCCUGCUUUCUGCAACUGACAGCGAAACUUAAAGAACAUACAGAACAGCGGAAUGGUGUGAACAGCACUGAGAAGAGGAUCAAGCAUCCAUGGGGUACUGCUGCUCCAAACACAAUCAGAAAGAUGAACUGACCUCACCAUCUUUUAGUGCAGUCAGAAUGGGAUUCCCAGUGCGCACAUCCCCAUCUGCUGGGGAAGAGGCAGCCCCACCAGCUUCUGCUGGGACAGCAUUGUAAGGCGUGGUUUUUCUCCCUUUGCAUUUCAACCCUACAGUUACAUCUGUCAGAUUUGUUCGUGCUGCUUUCAGACCAUUUAUAACUUGCUUUUUACUCCUAAAUGACUAAUUUCCCUGUUUAAAAUAGAGCUUUAUGGAGUAGAAGAUGUUAAACACAUGUUAAGCCUUUCAUGUCUUAGCAAUGAAAAUGUACAAUCACAAAGGUUUGUAAAGAGGCUCUCAGAGCUUACCAUUCACUGAUGAUUAGUCAUGCUUUGUACUGUUAUUCGAUAUUUGGAAUGAGACUUGGUUCAUUUGCAAGAAUUCUUAAUGCGCUGCAUAAUGUCAGAGAUUACUGGUCUCCAGCAAAUGAAUUUUUCUUUCUCUGUUUAAAAGCAUUUUACAAAAAAAAAUCAAUGCGAG
rnacentral:lncRNA from 1 species